rnacentral:tRNA from 1 species
GCCGAGGUAGCUCAGCGGGUAGAGCGCACGAGUGAAGAUCGUGAGGUCCCUGGUUCGAUCCCAGGCGUCGGCG